rnacentral:rRNA from 1 species
CAAGACCUGCGCUUUUGGAGCGGCCGAUGCCUGAUUAGCUUGUUGGUAAGGUAAAGGCUUACCAAGGCUUCGAUCAGUAGCUGGUCUGAGAGGACGGCCAGCCACACUGGGACUGGGACACGGCCCAGACUCCUACGGGAGGCAGCAGUGGGGAAUUUUGGACAAUGGGGGAAACCCUGAUCCAGCCAUGCCGCGUGAGUGAAGAAGGCCUUCGGGUUGUAAAGCUCUUUCAGCCGGAACGAAACGGUUACGGAUAAUACCCGUGACUACUGACGGUACCGGAAGAAGAAGCACCGGCUAACUACGUGCCAGCAGCCGCGGUAAUACGUAGGGUGCGAGCGUUAAUCGGAAUUACUGGGCGUAAAGCGUGCGCAGGUGGUUUUGUAAGUCAGAUGUGAAAGCCCCGGGCUCAACCUGGGAACU